GACGAACGCUGGCGGCGUUCUUAACACAUGCAAGUCGAACGCUGAAGCUCAGCUUUUGUUGGGUGGAUGAGCGGCGAACGGGUGAGUAACACGUGAGUAACCUGCCCCCUUCUUUGGGAUAACGCCCGGAAACGGGUGCUAAUACUGGAUAUUCACUGGUCUUCGCAUGGGGGUUGGUGGAAAGGGUUUUUCUGGUGGGGGAUGGGCUCGCGGCCUAUCAGCUUGUUGGUGGGGUGAUGGCCUACCAAGGCUUUGACGGGUAGCCGGCCUGAGAGGGUGACCGGUCACAUUGGGACUGAGAUACGGCCCAGACUCCUACGGGAGGCAGCAGUGGGGAAUAUUGCACAAUGGGCGCAAGCCUGAUGCAGCGACGCCGCGUGAGGGAUGGAGGCCUUCGGGUUGUGAACCUCUUUCGCUCAUGGUCAAGCCGCAACAAUGGUUGUGGUGAGGGUAGUGGGUAAAGAAGCGCCGGCUAACUACGUG
rnacentral:rRNA from 1 species